rnacentral:rRNA from 1 species
AUCCUGGCUCAGGAUGAACGCUAGCUACAGGCUUAACACAUGCAAGUCGAGGGGCAGCACAAGGCAGCAAUGCUGAGGUGGCGACCGGCGCACGGGUGCGUAACGCGUAUCCAACCUUCCCGUUACUCUUGGAUAGCCUUCCGAAAGGGAGAUUAAUACAAGAUGGUGUUGAAAUUCCGCAUGUUAUUUCAACUAAAGAUUUAUCGGUAACGGAUGGGGAUGCGUGACAUUAGAUAGUAGGCGGGGUAACGGCCCACCUAGUCUACGAUGUCUAGGGGUUCUGAGAGGAAGGUCCCCCACACUGGAACUGAGACACGGUCCAGACUCCUACGGGAGGCAGCAGUGAGGAAUAUUGGUCAAUGGCCGUAAGGCUGAACCAGCCAAGUAGCGUGAAGGAUGAAGGUUCUAUGGAUUGUAAACUUCUUUAUACGGGAAUAACACCAUCUACGUGUAGAUGUCUGCAUGUACCGUAUGAAUAAGCAUCGGCUAACUCCGUG